GAUGAACGCUGGCGGCGUGCCUAAUACAUGCAAGUCGAGCGAACAGACGAGGAGCUUGCUCCUCUGACGUUAGCGGCGGACGGGUGAGUAACACGUGGAGAACCUACCUAUAAGACUGGGAUAACUUCGGGAAACCGGAGCUAAUACCGGAUAAUAUAUUGAACCGCAUGGUUCAAUAGUGAAAGACGGUUUUGCUUUCACUUAUAGAUGGAUCCGCUCCGCAUUAGCUAGUUGGUAAGGUAACGGCUUACCAAGGCAACGAUGCGUAGCCGACCUGAGAGGUUGAUCGGCCACAUUGAAACUGAGACCCGGUCCAGACUCCUACGGGAGGAAGCAGCAGGGAAUCUGCCGCAAUGGGCGAAAGCCUGACGGAGCAACGCCGCGUGAGUGAUGAAGGUCUUCGGAUCGUAAAACUCUGUUAUUAGGGAAGAACAAAUGUGUAAGUAACUAUGCACGUCUUGACGGUACCUAAGCAGAAAGCCACGGCUAACUACGU
rnacentral:rRNA from 1 species